rnacentral:lncRNA from 1 species
UAAGAUACAAUUGGAGAUGGAGGUAGGAAGUUUUUGUGUAUGAUUUAUCUUCUGAAACCAACUCCAUUGAUCUUCCAAGACAUUCCAGGCCUAAUUUUCUAUUAAAAUCAUCCUGACUCAUAUAGUAGGUGUUUGGAAACUGGUCUGUGAAUAUGAAAUUAUGGUCCUGGUGAAUAUUGAGAUGCAUACUGCACGUAUGCUUACUUUUAGACAUUGUAACAAAUAGCUGGAGGCAGUUCAUGAGUCAUGCCCAU